CACCCAGGAGCCUUCAUGUGCCGGACACGCUGGAGUGUGGGGGCUCAGCUGAGGACCCCCGCCCGCGCCUCAGACAUGCCCCAAUAAAUCAGAUGCUGCGAUCUAGAGUCGGCUGUGUCACCUAUCCCACCUAUUACAUAAUGAAAUAGUACCACAUUAAACCGUGAGCACAGCUGUAGGUCCGUGUAACCUGAUCAGUGUGUGUGUGUGUGUGAGGCGCAAGGAUCGGACUCACCCGGCUGUAGACUCCGUUUGAAGCGGUCCACCGGCAGCCUGCCCCGUCUGCAUACUUUAAUUUGGGCUUCAAAUAAAGACUGUAGUUAUGAAUGAAGCCACACGCGAUUAGACACACCCACCGCCCGCUCCCGACGCACCACGUGACAGGCACUGACGACGACGGUGGUGGUGAUGGUGGUGAUGAUGCGAGAUGGAGGAGAAAACCCGUCCUCAUUCACACCAGCUGCUCAUGAAUGGCUACAAACUGCAUAUUGCAUCUGCACCCACAAUGGAAUCCACAGUUUGCAGCUCUAACCUCUGCAGUGUGCACUCCUUGCAUGAUGUUUUGCACAAACAGAAAAUGCCUCAGCACCAAAAUGAAUAGAUGUGUAACCUGUGCCUCUAUGAAAACAGGAAACAGGGGGGCACUUAGACAUCCGAAGAGCUAUUUUUGGGUUGUUGUUGGGUUUGUUUCCCCCGCCUCUCCGAAAACUUUCGAGAACUGGUUCAAAGCUGAGCGACAGAAAUAACCACACGUGACAAGUGAUUUAAUUCAACUUGGGAAAUCAGUUCAGGGUGACUGAAAUCACCAAAAUGUAUUUAUUCAGUGGCGGUACACAUUAAUGUGUUGGGCACAGGAAACUGUGACGGUGUCCUCUGCCACCGGUGACUAAGCUGCUACGGUCUUAAAUGUGUUCUCUCUUUUCUUCCAGGUCACUUUUUUGGAAUAUAUUAAUCUCCUCAAACCCUUUUUCCAUUAACAAGAACCUAAUUACUCAAAAAG
ensembl:lncRNA